GCGUGCUUAACACAUGCAAGUCGAACGAUGAUCCGGUGCUUGCACCGGGGAUUAGUGGCGAACGGGUGAGUAACACGUGAGUAACCUGCCCUUAACUCUGGGAUAAGCCUGGGAAACUGGGUCUAAUACCGGAUAUGACUCCUCAUCGCAUGGUGGGGGGUGGAAAGCUUUUUUGUGGUUUUGGAUGGACUCGCGGCCUAUCAGCUUGUUGGUGAGGUAAUGGCUCACCAAGGCGACGACGGGUAGCCGGCCUGAGAGGGUGACCGGCCACACUGGGACUGAGACACGGCCCAGACUCCUACGGGAGGCAGCAGUGGGGAAUAUUGCACAAUGGGCGCAAGCCUGAUGCAUCGACGCCGCGUGAGGGAUGACGGCCUUCGGGUUGUAAACCUCUUUCAGUAGGGAAGAAGCGAAAGUGACGGUACCUGCAGAAGAAGCGCCGGCUAACUACGUGCCAGCAGCCGCGGUAAUACGUAGGGCGCAA
rnacentral:rRNA from 1 species